rnacentral:lncRNA from 1 species
GUUGCCAUUGGCUUCUUUAUAUCAGGCUGGGCAGGAAGUUCUGGGAGAAAGAUGCAAGAAUCACGGUAUUUGUGGGAACCUGGAUUCACCUCCUGCAUCUCUGAAACCAGCUUACGUAGGCCUGGAAAUGGGUGGGAUUUAACACCUCCACGUGGAAGUAGAAGAGCCAGCAUACCGUCCAUGGUGUCAGUCCACCAUCCUGUGGAAUGACAUGCAGCCACAGGUGUAAAUAGCCCUGGGUGAUGUCGUGCUGCCUGGCCUGCGUGAGCCGAAUCCCUUGACGAAGAUCACAGUUUUGAAAAGAAUCAUACAAAUCAAGGGGUGGCAUCAAGAAAAAGAAUAAUGCUCCAGGUGAACAGAUCUGAAGUGGGACCGGCUGGGAGGAUCCUCCGAAAACAGGCAAACUUUGUGUCAUGAGCCCGAGGCUGGGGAAGCCUUGGAGCCCUGGCCAUUCAGACUCGGGUACCCAGGUGACGGUGAAGCUUCAUUGUCAACUUGAUGGGCUUGGAAGCUGCGCAGCAGAUGAGUAGAG